rnacentral:rRNA from 1 species
AGAGUUUGAUCAUGGCUCAGAACACGCUGGCGGCACGCUAAUACAUGCAAGUCGAACGCAGUAGCAAUACUGAGUGGCAGACGGGUGAGUAUAAUGUGGGAAUAUGCCUUUUGGUUUGGAAUAACUUGGGGAAACUUGAGCUAAUACCGAAUAAGCCCUUACGGGGAAAGAUUUAUCGCCGAAAGAUUAGCCCGCACUUGAUUAGCUUGUUGGUGAGGUAAAGGCUNACCAAGGCAACGAUCAAUAGCUGUUCUUAGAGGAAGACCAGCCACAUUGGNCUUGAGACACGGNCCAGACUUCUUCGGGGGGNAAGCAAAAGUUGGGGAUGCCGUCAAGUCCUCAUGGCCCUUACGUGUUGGGCUACACACGUGCUACAAUGGNCUUACAGUGAGAAGCGAAGAGGCGACUCGGAGCUAAUCUCCAAAAUGUGUCUCAGUUCGGAUUGUACUCUGCAACUCGAGUACAUGAAGCUGGAAUUGCUAGUAAUCGCGGAUCAGCGCGCCGCGGUGAAUACGUUCCCGGGUCUUGUACACACCGCCCGUCACACCAUGGAAGUUGGUUAUACUUUAAGCAAAGCCUAAAAACUUUGACUACGGUACAAUCAGCGACUGGGGUGAAGUCGUAACAAGGUAGCCGUAGGGGAACUGCGGUUGGAUCACCUCCUU